AAUUGAUAAGAUGCAAUACCAUCUACCGGCACUGACUCUAAAUGGAGAUGGGUUUUUUCAUCAGUU